UCUACGGGAGGCAGCAGUGAGGAAUAUUGGUCAAUGGGCGGAAGCCUGAACCAGCCAAGUAGCGUGCAGGAUGACGACCCUACGGGUUGUAAACUGCUUUUAUACGGGAAUAACGCGCCUUACGUGUAGGGCUUUGCAUGUACCGUAUGAAUAAGGACCGGCUAAUUCCGUGCCAGCAGCCGCGGUAAUACGGAAGGUCCGGGCGUUAUCCGGAUUUAGUGGGUUUAAAGGGAGCUUAGGCCGCAUGUCAAGCGUGCUGUGCAAUGUCCGGGCUCAACCCGGGCCUUGCAGCGCGAACUGGCGUGCUUGAGUCCGCGGAAAGCAGGCGGAAUUCGUCGUGUAGCGGUGAAAUGCUUAGAUAUGACGAAGAACCCCGAUUGCGAAGGCAGCUUGCUGCAGCGGAACUGACGCUGAUGCUCGAAAGCGCGGGUAUCGAACAGGAUUAGAUACCCCUGUAGUC
rnacentral:rRNA from 1 species